AUUGAACGCUAGCGGGAUGCCUUACACAUGCAAGUCGAACGGAGUGGCGAACGGGUGAGUAAUGUAUCGGAACGUGCCCAGUAGCGGGGGAUAACUACGCGAAAGCGUAGCUAAUACCGCAUACUAUUGGAGCGGCCGAUAUGGGAUUAGCGAGUUGGUGGGGUAACGGCUCACCAAGGCGACGACCCCGAGCUGGUUUGAGAGGACGACCAGCCACACGGGGACUGAGACACGGCCCAGACUCCUACGGGAGGCAGCAGUGGGGAAUUUUGAACAAUGGGGGAAAGCCUGAUCCAGCCAUCCCGCGUGGGGGAUGAAGGCCUUCGGGUUGUAAAGCACUUUUGGCGGGAAAGCGGUACCUGCAGAAUAAGCACCGGCUAACUACGUGCCAGCCGCCGCGGUAAUAC
rnacentral:rRNA from 1 species